UGGGAAUUAAAGAGAGGCAGGCUUGCAUAGAAUGAUUCAAGUUUCAGGGAGACUUAGCCCCCACUGAAUGAUCUUGUCUCUUGCCUUACAAAGCAAGACUACCACAUAGAGCUCCUGAAUUAAGUGACUAAGCUUAGAUGGAAGGAAUUGAGACCUCCCCUUUACUCUUGACUUUCAAUAGAUUUUUAUUAUUUCUGUCCUCUUUUCCAUCAGAUGGAAAAUAUGCCUGUGGAGACAAGUAUGUUGACAACCAUAUUCUGCUUUAAAAGCUUUGAAAUUAGAGCUACAAACAAGUAACUUUAAUGGCUCUGGGAAAGUAUUGUGAUCACCCCAGACAAGACAAAAUGAAUGCAUUAUGGCAAAAUUAAACUUCUUUUCACAUUGCAAGAGCUACACAGAAGAAAUGAAGAAUUGUCCUUCCCCAAAACACUAUUGGAGCAAGAGAAUUUACAAUGGAAGACAAUGAUGGACACAGUCUACAACAUUUCCUCUAAAGAUCUCCUGAUGGAUGUGCUUGUGAUACUGGUCCAUUUACACUACAAGAAACAAUUAUGAUUAGCUUCAUGUCUCUACAAUCUUACUUGGUGGCUUCAUCUAAUAU
rnacentral:lncRNA from 1 species